UACGGAGGAUGCAAGCGUUAUCCGGAAUGAUUGGGCGUAAAGCGUCCGCAGGUGGCAAUGUAAGUCUGCUGUCAAAGCGUCUGGCUCAACCAGAGAAAGGCAGUGGAAACUACAUAGCUAGAGUAAGGUAGGGGUAGAGGGAAUUCCUGGUGUAGCGGUGAAAUGCGUAGAGAUCAGGAAGAACACCGGUGGCGAAAGCGCUCUGCUGGACCUUAACUGACACUGAGGGACGAAAGCUAGGGGAGCGAAUGGG
rnacentral:rRNA from 1 species